rnacentral:rRNA from 1 species
GAUGAACGCUGGCGGCGUGCUUAACACAUGCAAGUCGAACGAUGAAGCCCAGCUUGCUGGGUGGAUUAGUGGCGAACGGGUGAGUAACACGUGAGUAACCUGCCCUUAACUCUGGGAUAAGCCUGGGAAACUGGGUCUAAUACCGGAUAGGAGCGUCCACCGCAUGGUGGGUGUUGGAAAGAUUUAUCGGUUUUGGAUGGACUCGCGGCCUAUCAGCUUGUUGGUGAGGUAAUGGCUCACCAAGGCGACGACGGGUAGCCGGCCUGAGAGGGUGACCGGCCACACUGGGACUGAGACACGGCCCAGACUCCUGCGGGAGGCAGCAGUGGGGAAUAUUGCACAAUGGGCGCAAGCCUGAUGCAGCGACGCCGCGUGAGGGAUGACGGCCUUCGGGUUGUAAACCUCUUUCAGUAGGGAAGAAGCGAAAGUGACGGUACCUGCAGAAGAAGCACCGGCUAACUACGUG